AGUGAACGCUGGCGGCAGGCCUAACACAUGCAAGUCGAACGGCAGCACAGGAGAGCUUGCUCUCUGGGUGGCGAGUGGCGGACGGGUGGGGAAUACAUCGGAAUCUACCUUUUCGUGGGGGAUAACGUAGGGAAACUUACGCUAAUACCGCAUACGACCUUAGGGUGAAAGCGGAGGACCUUCGGGCUUCGCGCGGAUAGAUGAGCCGAUGUCGGAUUAGCUAGUUGGCGGGGUAAAGGCCCACCAAGGCGACGAUCCGUAGCUGGUCUGAGAGGAUGAUCAGCCACACUGGAACUGAGACACGGUCCAGACUCCUACGGGAGGCAGCAGUGGGGAAUACUGGACAAUGGGCGCAAGCCUGAUCCAGCCAUGCCGCGUGGGUGAAGAAGGCCUUCGGGUUGUAAAGCCCUUUUGUUGGGAAAGAAAAGCAGUCGGUUAAUACCCGAUUGUUCUGACGGUACCCAAAGAAUAAGCACCGGCUAACUUCGUGCCAGCCGCCGCAGUAA
rnacentral:rRNA from 1 species